GUUGUAGUUUUCCUCUUUUCUCUCCUGUAGCUGGACUCACUCAGAGGAAGCUGUUAGUUUGGUCUGAAGGUGAAUCUGAUCGAAUGUUUUUCAGCCUGUUCUUCUUGACGAAAUAAAAAGUUUCUUGGUUUGUCUCAGCUAUUCUCCAUCUGACCACCAGAUGUCCUCAGACUUUCCUCCCUGUACCAGUCACCUGACUGCUCACUCCUGCUCACCUGUCCAACAACCACCACAGAGUCUCUGCCCUCUCUCACAUCUGUUCCCUGUUUCCUCAUCAUCUCAGUAUUUAAACCAACCAUUUCCUUCAGCUCCUUGUCUUGUCUGUGAUCCUGCUCCUCUUUGUUUCAUCCAUUAAAAGUCCCUUCCCUGCCUGAGCUGCUGCCACCAGCCUCAGUAACAGUGGAUGAUACUCAGACAGUAACUGUCACCUGUUAUACUUGACCUGCCCCCCAGAUGUCCCCACACUUUCAUCCUGUCUCCAUAUCCACCUGGUUCGGCUCCUGGUGCGGUUUCCCAAGGCUUAUUGGUCCUGGGUGUUGGAUCCACCUGGAGCCAGAUCUGGGUGAAGACCAGGGAUGAGUGUCUGCCAGCUUCUGUUGAACAAACCCUGGAGAGAUCGCCUCCAUGUGGCUUCAAAGUCAUUUUGAAGGCGUCCUCUGUAGACCCAGACCAAGACCUGAGAGCACUGGUGGUGGUCACUGAAGGUUUACUCUGAGAUAUGGACACACUGCUGGUGAACUGGUGCUUUAUUUGUUAAAUGGGCUUCAGUUUGAAUGUUGAACA